rnacentral:rRNA from 1 species
UACAGAGGUCUCAAGCGUUGUUCGGAUUCAUUGGGCGUAAAGGGUGCGUAGGCGGCGCGGUAAGUCGGGUGUGAAAUCUCGGAGCUUAACUCCGAAACUGCAUUCGAUACUGCCGUGCUUGAGGACUGGAGAGGAGACUGGAAUUUACGGUGUAGCGGUGAAAUGCGUAGAUAUCGUAAGGAAGACCAGUGGCGAAGGCGGGUCUCUGGGCAUUUCCUGACGCUGAGGCGCGAAAGCGUGGGGAGCAAACGGG